ensembl:lncRNA
UCAAAAACUUGGAGUUUGUCCCUUGGAGGGUUAAUUCAAAUUUUGUCUAAAUUAUGUAGGUUGUGCAAUUUAAGGCCUUGUAAAUAUUAUUUAAUUUAUCAGACGUCUCUGUGUUAUAAUUUCUAUGUUUGUAUAUAGGCUCUGUCUGCCACGGGCACUGCAGCAGGCUGGUUAUUUUGAGAGUGUGUCUGUGUUUAUGUAAAUGAGAUGCUUGUGACUUAUUUAGAGUGACAUUUCCUGUUUACUAAUGAGUGGCUAAUGACUGACUGCAGAGCCAGGGUUAAGGACGACUUCAAUCUGUGUUUUAAGGGAAGAAAUGCAGUUUAUGUUUAUUAUAUUUGUGUGACUGUUGUUGAUUAUGAUAAGUAUUUCAUGAUAACUGUAGAAUAUGAGUAUGGGGUUUGCUUGACACGUGUCUGUACUAGGUAAAACUGUGUAAGACUGAUAGGAAGUUUACAGGGACUGCUACACAUGGCUGAUGCCUGUAUUUAAGACGCUGGAGUUGUUUAUUACAAUAUUUGUGUCAAUACAGGUGGGCGUCUUUCAACUUUGCAACCUUGAGUUCAGCAGCAGAAAAGUAGAUUAAAAGAAUUGGGAGAAUAAGCCAGUUUUUGGCUCGAAAUUGUGCGGCUGGAUCUCUCACUUUGUCCCUGAAGCGGAGAAGAAGUUCAAAGGACAGUUAAUCGCCUGAUGAAGACAGAUAGAACAUCGUGGACUUGAAUACAGCAGGCAAACGACAGUGCCACUGAUCCAGUAACACUGAUGACGACUGACGACCAGCAGCAGCAUUGAAUGUGGGAUGUAAGGUGACUGACCAAGCAAUGAACCACAGGAUACAUGGCAGCAAGCCUACUGGCAGAGGACCAAGAAGCAUCUGCUACAUACAGUAAGAGACACAACAAUUAUUUUGUCCCCUGUGUACGUGGCUCUACA